UAGCCGUAAACGAUACUCGCUAGGUGUCGGCCACGGUGCGACCGUUGUCGGUGCCGUAGGGAAGCCGUGAAGCGAGCCACCUGGGAAGUACGGCCGCAAGGCUGAAACUUAAAGGAAUUGGCGGGGGAGCGACCACAACGGGUGGAGCUUGCGGUUUAAUUGGAUUCAACGCCGGACAACUCAACCAGGAGCGACGGUUACAUGAAGGCCAGGCUGAUGACCUUGCCUGAUUUUCCGAGAGGAGGUGCAUGGCGUAGUCGUGU
rnacentral:rRNA from 1 species